CCACUUCACACACACAUCCCGGAUAUAUAGCCCGGAUAAGUUUAUUGCACGAGCACAGUAGACCAUUCUCACGUGCACAAAUGGCUAGUAGUUCGAAAUGUGAGGUGUUAUGCUGACAGAUCGUGGGAAUUGCGCUUUCUCUGCGAUCAGUUACCACACUCAAAAUCGACUUUCUCGAGAAACAAUUGACUUCAGAAAAAGCUUUUCGUGAUGCAACUAUCAUACAAGACGGCAGAGAUCAAGGAAUAUGAGCAAUCCAGGACAUUUGUUGUUGUGAGUUCAGUUAAUAUGUAGUGAUUCUAGAUGAGUAACCUGGAUAACUUCCAUUGUUGCACCUGCCAGAAGACGAAUUACAUGUGUGGUUUAGGCAUAAUUCACCUAUGUUUCGAUUAAUUAACAUUUUCUGGAUCUCGAUAAGGUUUGAAUUUUUAGUUCAUCUUUCGAGAUUCUCCACAGAGUUAGACAAAAAGUGCCUUUUCUUCAGGGAGCUGCCGUGACCAGUUUUCUGAAGAAAUGAGUGCAACUAAGUUUGUAUAGCUGCAUUGCAUUUUGACUCGUAGUGCUUUUAGCUAUUGUACUUUGUACAUUUGAUAGAUUAUUUGAAGGAUCUUUUGGGAGACCAGCCAUGCUGAGAUUUCUGAAUAAAUUUG